rnacentral:rRNA from 1 species
GACGAACGCUGGCGGCGUGCUUAACACAUGCAAGUCGAACGGAAAGGCCCUGCUUUUGUGGGGUGCUCGAGUGGCGAACGGGUGAGUAACACGUGAGUAACCUGCCCUUGACUUUGGGAUAACUUCAGGAAACUGGGGCUAAUACCGGAUAGGAGCUCCUGCUGCAUGGUGGGGGUUGGAAAGUUUCGGCGGUUGGGGAUGGACUCGCGGCUAACCAGCUUGUUGGUGGGGUAGUGGCUUACCAAGGCUUUGACGGAUAGCCGGCCGGGGAGGGUGAACGGGCACAAGGGGCCUGAGAUAGGGAGCAGACGGGUACGGGGGACAAUGGUGGGGAGUAUUGCACAGUGGGAGGGCGCCGGUUGAGACGACGUCCGGGUUGUAAUGACCGCCUUUGGGUUAUGAACAGCAUUCGCCUAUUACGAAGCUUGAGUGACGGUAAUGGAUGAAGAAGCACCGGCUAACUACGUG